UUGAUCAAUGCAAAUACAGGGGAUAUCGUUACAUCUGGCCCGGAAUCCUCCAUUAAGUUGGACGUUGUCGUACUUGAAGGUGACUUCAACAAAGACAAUGAGGAUAACUGGGCUCCAGAAGAGUUUGAGAACUACGUGGCUAAAGAACGUGCAGGAAAGGCGCCGCUUUUGGCAGGAGAUCUCGUAGUGAAGCUCAAGGCAGGUGUUGGGGAGCUGGGUGAUCUGAUAUUUACUGACAAUUCCAGCUGGAAUAGGAAUAAAGAAUUCAGGAUAGGGCUAAAGGUGGCAUCGGGCUAUUGUGGGAAUACACGAAUCCAAGAAGCAGUAACAGAUGCCUUCCGAGUCAAGGAACAUAGAGGAGAAUUACAAAAGAAACAUUAUCCACCAGCAUCUGACGAUGAGGUCUGGAGGUUGGAGAAGAUUGCCAAAAAUGGGAAGUCUCUCCAAAAACUGAGUAAUGCUGGAAUACAUAAGGUUGAAGACUUUCUACUGCAACUGCUUACGGACUCCGAGAAACUGAAAGAGAUUCUCGGAAAGAGUAUAAACAGAAGAAGUGGGAUAGCC